rnacentral:lncRNA from 1 species
CUGACUCCUGUCCCUUGGGGGAGGGACCCCAACUCCUGAUCCCUUGGUGGAGGGACCCCGAUUCCUGAUCCCUCGGGGGAGGGACCCCGACUCCUGUCCCUUGGUGGAGGGACCCCGCUUCCUGAUCGCUCGGGGGAGGGACCCCAAUUCCUGCUCCCUUGGGGGGGGGACCCGGGUUCCCGCUCCCUCGGAGAACAGCCCUCCUGAGAACACGGUGCCGAGGGAACGCGGCCGGCGCACACGGCCACCUACUGGUCCCAGGGUGGCCCCUGCAGCAGGUGUCCAGCGGACGCCAAGCGGCAGGGACAGGAGGCCGAGGAGCGGUCGGUCCCCGGGGGCAGGACGGGGUGCAGGGGGCAGUGAGCGCGCGGCGGCCGGGCCGUCUGUGCGGGGCGCUGCCGCGUGUGCAGCCGAGAGGGCCGACAUGUCGGGGGUGCACGUGGGGGCGCGCGAGCUCCUGCACGCUCGUGGGUGGCGCCCCAUGCCGUCCGCGCGGCGCAGAGCCAGCGACUUCCCGCCUUUUCUGGCGGGCGAGGGCCGGGCCAAUGAGGACGCGGUGACCUCAUCAGAUCUGCGUGUGGGCGUGCUCGGGCAGCAGCUUGGCGGGCGGCGGCUGCAGCAGGAGCAGCAGCAGCACGCGGGACACCUCGCAGCGGACCAGCACGUCCGAGAAGGCGCCCAGCGUGGCGGGCGCGGGCGUGGGCGCGGGCGCGGCAGGCAGCAGGGCGGCGGGCAGGGCCGGGGCGGCGGCGGCGGGGCCCAGCGGGGCGGAGGCCGACGAGGACGAGGCCGAGGCCGACGAGGUCGAGGCCGAGGCCGACGAGGUCGACGCCGCCGCCGGCGGGGCCAGGGGCAGCGGCGGGGCGGGCGGCGGCGGGGCCGGGGGCGGCUGCCGCAGCGGGUGGCUGCCGUGCUCCCGCGCCAGGCGCUGCAUGCGCGUGAAGACGGCCAGGGCGCCGCUGUAGUCGCGCGCCAGCAGCUGGCAGGAGGCGGCGUCGCCCAGCGCCUGCAGCGCGGCCAGGGGCAGCUGCGGCAGGUGCAGCUGCGCGGCGCGCAGGAAGUGGCCGGCGGCGGCGGCCGGCUGGCCCAGGUCGCGCAGGGCGGCGGCCAGCUCGAGGCACAGGCCGGCGGCGGCGGCCGGCUGGCCCAGCUCCAGGUGCAGGCGCACGGCGGCGCCCAGCGCGCUGGCGGCGGCCUGCAGCGGCUCCCCGUAGGCCGCGGGGCAGGCGAGGCGCUGGCGGGCGUCGCGCUCCUGCCGCAGGAAGAGGCGCGCGGCCUCGGUCAGCGCCAGCGCCUCCCCGGGCCCGUGGAACAGCGCCUGCUGGCAGCGCGCCACGGCCAGCUGGCACCACGCGGCGUACGGCAGGCACUCCUGCGCGCGCAGCUCCCGGCCCAGCUGCGCGAACUGCUCGCCCGCCUCCGCCACGUUCGGCUUCCGCAGGAACCGCUUACGCAGCUUGCUCGACACCUGCCGGUAGCGGGCCAGGAAGUCCCCGGCCUCGGGCCCCGGGCCCGCGCCGCCGCCGCCGCCGCCGCCGCCGCCGCCCGGGCCGCCGCCGCCGCCGCCGCCCGGGCCGCCCGCCGCCGCCGCCGCCAUCUUGCCCGCACGCGCGCACGCCCGACGUGCCCGCGUCCCCCGGCCCCGCCCCCUGCGGGCCCCGCCCCCCGCGGACCCCGCGCAUGCGUGCGCCGCCCCCCGCCGUCCCGCCGGACGGAACCGAGCGCGCGGGCCGGCGCGGGGCCUGGGCGGCCGCGGCCCUUCCGAGGCGACCCCGGCCCCCGGGUCGGCCCGCGCCCCCCGGCCCCUCCCGGCCCCUGCCGGCCCCCGAGCUAACGUCGCGGCGCCGGCCCGCCUGGCCCCGAGGCCGCUUGGCCGGAGUCAGGAUGGUCCCCGCCCCCCAGCCUUCCGUCAAAGCCCUGUCCCUCGAGUCCGCGCCGGCACCUGUGUCCCCCAACAGUCCGCGCCGGCAGCUGUGUCCCCCCAUUCACUCCGCGCCGGCAGGUGUGUCCCCCUCCAUCCCGCAGCCAGGUUGUUACUGCACCGGCGUUCACCCCAUCACCACGCCGCAGGCAUGGUCCUGAGCUCCAGCCCCACACACACCAUCGUCCACGGGACUGGCCCGUGCGGUGGGGGGGGUCUUCUAUGCCCCAGCGUCACUCCCAGCCCAGCCACCCCCUGUCCUGACCCCGAGCAGUCCCCGUCCCCGCACCCCAGCCGGACCCCACCACCACCCCUGCACCCCAGCCGGACCCCGCCACAGCCCCCGUCCCUGCACCCCAACAAUGCUCCGGACCGCAUGACCGAACCCCGCACCACACCCACGAACCCGCGCCCCACGCCACACCCCAAAUCCUCCAUCACCCCCAUCGUGCACCGCCGAGGGCACCCCAACCCCCCGUCAUCCCCGAGCCCCGCACCCCCACCCCAACCUCGCCCACAACCCCAAACCCCAACCUCCCCCCCGCCCCCCCGCCCUCCCCCGAGGCGCGUCCCGCACCCAGUGAGCCAGGCGCACACGUCUGGUUGUCUCUGCGCCUUUUAUUGCGGGGACGCGGGGGUCACCGAGCCCCCCCGGCGGCUCCCCGGGCGGCGGCGGGCAUCAGGGGCCGGGGGCGGCUAGUACCGGGCCGGGGCCACCUGGGACACGGUGGUCAUCGUGAACAAGCCGCUGAGCAGCUCGUGGUUGUGCAGCGCCCGGUCCACGAGCUCCGGGGUGAUGUACGCGGUGCGCCUGUGCCGGGCCUCGUCGCCCGCCAGCCCCAGCACGGUGGCCGUCAGGAACUGGAUGACGGCCGCCAGGAAGAUGGGGGCGGACGCGCCCAGGCGCUUGGCGUAGCGGCCGGCCCGCAGGAGGCGCUCCAUCUGGCACACGGAGAAGGCCAGCCCCGCGCGGGCGCUGCGCGAGCGGCACGACCUCGGGCGGCCGGCCCGCCCUCCACGGCUCCCCCUGAGCCGCGCGCGGGGCCUCGGCGGCGCUCGGCGCGGGGCCUCGGGCUGCGGCCCGGCUGCGGCCCGGCUGGGGACGCUCGGGCGUCGGGCCGCGGAGCCACGGGCCUCGGGCUGCGGAGACCCCGGGCUGCGGACGCUCGGGCGUCGGGCCGCGGAGCCACGGGCCUCGGGCUGCGGAGACCCCGGGCUGCGGACGCUCGGGCGUCGGGCCGCGGAGCCACGGGCCUCGGGCUGCGGAGACCCCGGGCUGCGGACGGUCGGGCGUCGGGCCGCGGGGACAUGGGGCUUGGGCUGCAGAGACAUCGGGCUGCGGACAGAGAGACACCGGCCUCGGGCUGCGGAGAGACGGGGCAAGGGCUGCAGACAGACGGGCCUCAGGCUGCAGAGAGACCGACCUCGGGCUGCAGAGAGACCGAACUCGGGCUGCAGAGUGUCCGACCUCGGGCUGCAGAGACCGACCUCGGGCUGCGGAGAGACGGGCCUCGGGCUGCAGAAAGUCCGACCUCGGGCUGCAGAGACCGACCUCAGGCUGCGGAGAGACGGGCCUCGCGCUGCAGAGAGACCGACCUCGGGCUGUAGAGAGACUGACCUCGGGCUGCAGAGACCGACCUCGGGCUGCAGAGAGUCCGACCUCGGGCUGCAGAGACCGACCUCGGGCUACAGAGAGUCCGACCUCGGGCUGCAGAGUCCGACCUCGGGCUGCAGAGAGUCCGACCUCGGGCUGCAGAGAGACCGACCUCGGGCUGCAGAGAGUCCGACCUCGGGCUGCAGAGAGUCCGACCUCGGGCUGCAGAGAGACGGGCCUCGGGCUGCGCUGCCGAAACAGCGUCGGGGCGCAGAGAGGAGCGCCGGGGUGCACCGCCGUGCGGCGCGCUGGGCCGGCUGCACCCGAGCCCUCAGCAGCGGGCGAGGAGGCCCCGCUCCGUAUCCGAGGGACACACCCCCUCCCCGCCCCGCUGCGCACGCGGUGACACGCAGGCCUGAUGAGGUCACCGCGUCCCCAUUGGCCCGGCCCGGCCCUCGCCCGCCAGAAAAGCCGCUGGCGGGAAGUCGCUGGCUCUGCGCCGCGCGGACGGCAUGGGGCGCCACCGACGAGCGUGCAGGAGCUCGCGCGCCCCCACGUGCACCCCCGACAUGUCGGCCCUCUCGGCUGCACACGCGGCACCGCCCCGCACAGACGGCCCGGCCGCCGCGCGCUCACUGCCCCCUGCACCCCGUCCUGCCCCCGGGGACCGACCGCUCCUCGGCCUCCUGUCCCUGCCGCUUGGCGUCCGCUGGACACCUGCUGCAGGGGCCACCCUGGGACCAGUAGGUGGCCGUGUGCGCCGGCCGCGUUCCCUCGGCACCGUGUUCUCAGGAGGGCUGUUCUCUGAGGGAGCGGGAACCGGGGUC